rnacentral:rRNA from 1 species
GACGAACGCUGGCGGCGUGCCUAAUACAUGCAAGUCGAGCGAAUGGAUUGAGAGCUUGCUCUUAAGAAGUUAGCGGCGGACGGGUGAGUAACACGUGGGUAACCUGCCCAUAAGACUGGGAUAACUCCGGGAAACCGGGGCUAAUACCGGAUAACAUUUUGAGCCGCAUGGUUCGAAAUUGAAAGGCGGCUUCGGCUGUCACUUAUGGAUGGACCCGCGUCGCAUUAGCUUGUUGGUGAGGUAACGGCUCACCAAGGCAACGAUGCGUAGCCGACCUGGGAGGGUGAUCGGCCACACUGGGACGGAGACACGGCCCAGACUCCUAAGGGAGGCAGCAGUAGGGAAUCUUCCGCAAUGGACGAAAGUCUGACGGAGCAACGCCGCGUGAGUGAUGAAGGCUUUCGGGUCGUAAAACUCUGUUGUUAGGGAAGAACAAGUGCUAGUUGAAUAAGCUGCCACCUUGACGGUACCUAACCAGAAAGCCACGGCUAACUACGUGCCAGCCGCCGCGGUAA